rnacentral:rRNA from 1 species
UACGUAGGUGGCAAGCGCUGUCCGGAUUUAUUGGGUUUAAAGGGUGCGUAGGCGGUCUUAUAAGUCAGUGCUGAAAUAUCCCGGCUUAACCGGGAGGGUAGCAUUGAUACUGUAGGACUUGAGUAGAGUUGAGGUUGGCGGAAUUGACGGUGUAGCGGUGAAAUGCUUAGAUAUCGUCAAGAACACCGAUAGUGAAGACAGCUAACUAAGCUCAAACUGACGCUGAGGCACGAAAGUGUGGGGAUCAAACAGG